AGUAUUCAAGCAUGAUUAGUUCAUCAAUUCAUCAAGUUGGGAUCCCGGCCAGCUAAACAAUCGGUUUAGCUUUACUUCCAAUAAGGAAGCAUCAUCAUCAGUUCAUCAAGUAUCAAUGCAAGAAUACUCAUUUCUCAUCAGAAAAUCAUCAACAAAAUGUUCACCAAAACAUUAUAAAAUAUUACAGUGAAGGGUACAGUAUAUACUUACAGUGC
rnacentral:lncRNA from 1 species